rnacentral:rRNA from 1 species
GUGAGGAAUUUUCCGCAAUGGGCGAAAGCCUGACGGAGCAAUGCCGCGUGAAGGAUGAAGGCCUAUGGGUUGUAAACUUCUUUUCUCAGAAAAGAAUUAUGACGGUAUCUGAGGAAUAAGCAUCGGCUAACUCUAUGCCAGCAGCCGCGGUAAGACAGAGGAUGCAAGCGUUAUCCGGAAUGAUUGGGCGUAAAGCGUCUGUAGGUUGUUUAAAAAGUAUUCUGUCAAAGAUUAGGGCUUAACCCUAGAUAGGCAGAAUAAACUUUUAAGCUAGAGUUUGGUAGAGGCAGAGGGAAUUCCCGGUGGAGCGGUGAAAUGCGUAGAUAUCGGGAGGAACACCAAAGGCGAAGGCACUCUGCUGGGCCAAUACUAACACUGAGAGACGAAAGCGAGGGGAGCAAAUGGGAUUAGAAACCCCUGUAGUCC